rnacentral:lncRNA from 1 species
UUACAAAACCAACUCGAAGCUAAAGAACAGGAACAUAUCGUCAAAAGGAAUGGAGACUUUGGACAAACUGAAGGAAAGUGAUGUCACAAUACAUACGCUAAAUCAAUCAAUCGCAAACUUAAAGAGCAACAUGGACCAACAGAACCAGGAAUAUUCCAGAUUAACUGUAGCAAAGGAUGUUGAAUUGGAAACGUUGCAUCAACAGGAUGCCAAGAUGUGAUCUGAACUCGCGCAGAGAAAAAAUGAUUUUGAGAGGAGGCAGAAAGAGUUGUCUUUAUCUUUGGAGAGAGAGUCGUCGUUGGAACGUUCUAGGGCUCAGCUAGAGUUAGAUUAGCAGCGCAGAUGUGAAGAGACAGAGAGAACUGGGUAUGAUAAACAAGAAAAACUGGUUAAGAAUUUAACACAAGGCGAAGAAGAGGCGUUAUCGUUAGUGAAACAACAGAAACGUAAACUGCUUCACAAGGAUAGUGUUAUCCACAUUUUGAAGACACAAAGAGAUGAAUCAGUUUCUAUCCUCAAGCUUCAUGGACUAACCGUGCCUUCCCAAAUAUCAGUCGAAGAUGUUGGCACAGCAGCAGCGAAUAUGAAUAAUGAAGAACUUCAAGUUCAGAACGAAAAUUUGCGUCAUGUUAUUCAUCAAAUGGGAGAGGACAUGGAGGAUUUGACGAAACAGUUAAAGAUUGAAGUAAGGAUAAUGUUCAUAUAAGAGGUCUGGUGGCACAGCUGAACAGCACAAUCGGUAGUUUACGCCAAGAGAAAUUAGAUCUUACAUCUCAAUUGGGAAAAUGUAAAGCAAUUAUCGUUCAUCUUCAAUGUUUACUUCAUCAUUCUUCAGAAGAGGUUCGUCAGAAGCAACUAAACAUAUCAACUUCACUAUCAGUUGACAACAGGGAAUCGUCGGGCCAACGAAGAAAUGAAUGCUUUGAAGCAGCAGAACUCUGAUCUCAAGGUAACCCAAAAAAGACACCAGGCUGACGAAUUUUACAAAACGGGUUUGGAGAGAAAUAUUGAUGCUGUAUCAUUAGGAAACCAGAUAAACUACCCGAGGUAGAAGUAUUAGCAACAUCUAGUCAAGAAUUGUGUGACAGGCAGCAGAUGAUUGCAUUUUCUCAUUGCUUUUCUGCUGUUGUCAGCAUUAAAAUUGGAUCUUGCUAGUCACGGAAAACCUUUGAAUACGUACAAUCCAG